GAUGAACGCUGGCGGCGUGCCUAAUACAUGCAAGUCGAGCGAACGGACGAGAAGAUUGCUUCUCUGAUGUUAGCGGCGGACGGGCGAGUAACACGUGGAUAACCUACCUAUAAGACUGGGAUAACAUCGGGAAACCGGAGCUAAUAACGGAUAAUAUUUUGAACCGCAUGGUUCAAAAGUGAAAGACGGCCUUGCUGUCAGAUAUAGAUGGAUCCGCGCUGCAUUAGCUAGUUGGUAAGGUAACGGCUUAGCAAGGCAACGAUGCAUAGCCGACCUGAGAGGGUGAUCGGCCACACUGGAACUGAGACACGGUCCAGACUCCUACGGGAGGCAGCAGUAGGGAAUCUUCCGCAAUGGGCGAAAGCCUGACGGAGCAACGCCGCGUGAGUGAUGAAGGUCUUCGGGUCGUAAAGCUCUUUUAUUAGGGAAGAACAUAUGUGUAAGUAACUGUGCACAUCUUGACGGUACCUAAUCAGUAAGCCACGGCUAACUACGUG
rnacentral:rRNA from 1 species